UACGUAGGGUGCAAGCGUUGUCCGGAAUUAUUGGGCGUAAAGAGCUCGUAGGCGGUUCGUCGCGUCGGCUGUGAAAACCUGAGGCUCAACCUCAGGCCUGCAGUCGAUACGGGCGGACUUGAGUACUGCAGGGGAGACUGGAAUUCCUGGUGUAGCGGUGAAAUGCGCAGAUAUCGGGAAGAACACCCGUGGCGAAGGCGGCUCUCUGGGACGGUACUGACGCUGAGACGCGAAAGCGUGGGUAGCGAACAGG
rnacentral:rRNA from 1 species